rnacentral:rRNA from 1 species
AACGUAGGACACAAGCGUUAUCCGGAGUUACUGGGCGUAAAGGGCGUGUAGGCGGACCUAUAAGUCUAUUCUGAAAGCUCCUGGCUAAACUGGGAGAGGCGAAUGGAGACUGUAGAUCUAGAGUGAGGAAGAGGAAAGUGGAAUUCCGCGUGUAGUGGUGAAAUGCGUAGAGAUGCGGAGGAACACCAGUGGCGAAGGCGGUUCUCUGGGCCUGUUCUGACGCUGAGG